rnacentral:lncRNA from 1 species
UUCUGUGGUGGAUUUGAUUUGAUGAAUUGUUGGUUGGAUUAAACCUGCUUUAGUUUUUAAUUUUGUGGUAAUUUUUGGCUGAUUGACUGUCAUGUAAUUUGGUGGUUGUUGCUAAUGACGAUGACGAUAAUGGUUAUGUUUGGUUUAGCUAAUGUUUUAGAGAAAUGUGAUUCUGGCCCUAGAAAGUUGUGUUUGUAGAAAUUGUUAGCCCUGCCCUUGCGUGAGAUGUUUGUAUAGUGAUGACAUGUGAGUGUGUGUGUGUGUGACUGCUGAGUUUACAUUGGC